UACGGGGGGCAAGCGUUGUUCGGAAUUACUGGGCGUAAAGGGCUCGUAGGCGGCCAACUAAGUCAGACGUGAAAUCCCAGGCUCAACCUGGGAACUGCGUCUGAUACUGGUUGGCCUUGAAUCCGGAGAGGGAUGCAGAAUUCCAGGUGUAGCGGUGAAUGACGUAGAUAUCAGGAGGAACACCAAUGGCGAAGGCAGAUCUCUGGGCCGUAACUGACGCUGAGGAGCGAAGCAUGGGGAGCGAACAGG
rnacentral:rRNA from 1 species